rnacentral:rRNA from 1 species
ACAAUGGAGAGUUUGAUCCUGGCUCAGGAUGAACGCUAGCGGCAGGCUUAAUACAUGCAAGUCGUGGGGCAGCAGGUGUAGCAAUACAUGCUGGCGACCGGCAAACGGGUGCGGAACACGUACGCAACCUUCCUUUAACUGGAGAAUAGCCCCUCGAAAGAGGGAUUAAUACUCCGUAACAUAUUGAUAAGGCAUCUUAUUAAUAUUAUAGCUCCGGCGGUUAAAGAUGGGCGUGCGCCUGAUUAGGUAGUUGGCGGGGUAACGGCCCACCAAGCCUUCGAUCAGUAACUGGUGUGAGAGCACGACCAGUCACACGGGCACUGAGACACGGGCCCGACUCCUACGGGAGGCAGCAGUAAGGAAUAUUGGUCAAUGGACGCAAGUCUGAACCAGCCAUGCCGCGUGGAGGAUUAAGGCCCUCUGGGUUGUAAACUCCUUUUAUCUGGGAAGAAAUGCAUUUUUUCUAAAAUGCUUGACGGUACCAGAGGAAUAAGCACCGGCUAACUCCGUGCCAGCAGCCGCGGUAAUACGGAGGGUGCAAGCGUUAUCCGGAUUCACUGGGUUUAAAGGGUGCGUAGGCGGGUAAGUAAGUCCGUGGUGAAAUCUCUGAGCUUAACUCAGAAACUGCCGUGGAUACUAUUUGCCUUGAAUAUUGUGGAGGUGAGCGGAAUAUGUCAUGUAGCGGUGAAAUGCUUAGAUAUGACAUAGAACACCAAUUGCGAAGGCAGCUCACUACACAAUUAUUGACGCUGAGGCACGAAAGCGUGGGGAUCAAACAGGAUUAGAUACCCCGGUAGUCCACGCUGUAAACGAUGCUCACUAGGUCUUGGGAGGUAUCGACCCCUCUUUGGACCGUAGCUAACGCGUUAAGUGAGCCGCCUGGGGAGUACGAACGCAAGUUUAAAACUCAAA